AGCGAACGCUGGCGGCAGGCCUAACACAUGCAAGUCGAACGAACCUUUCGGGGUUAGUGGCGGACGGGUGAGUAACACGUGGGAACGUGCCUUUAGGUUCGGAAUAACUCAGGGAAACUUGUUCUAAUACCGAAUGUGCCCUUCGUGGGAAAGAUUUAUCGCCUUUAGAGCGGCCCGCGUCUGAUUAGCUAGUUGGUUGAGGUAAUGGCUCACCAAGGCGACGAUCAGUAGCUGGUCUGAGAGGAUGAUCAGCCACAUUGGGACUGAGACACGGCCCAAAAUCCUACGGGAGGCAGCAGUGGGGAAUCUUGCGCAAUGGGCGAAAGCCUGACGCAGCCAUGCCGCGUGAAUGAUGAAGGUCUUAGGAUUGUAAAAUUCUUUCACCGGGGACGAUAAUGACGGUACCCGGAGAAGAAGCCCCGGCUAACUUCGUG
rnacentral:rRNA from 1 species